UAACGCGUGAGUAACCUGCCUUUCAGAGGGGGAUAACGUCCUGAAAAGAACGCUAAUACCGCAUAAGAUUGUAGCUUCGCAUGGAGCAGCAAUCAAAGGAGCAAUCCGCUGAAAGAUGGACUCGCGUCCGAUUAGAUAGUUGGCGGGGUAACGGCCCACCAAGUCGACGAUCGGUAGCCGGACUGAGAGGUUGAUCGGCCACAUUGGGACUGAGACACGGCCCAG
rnacentral:rRNA from 1 species